rnacentral:rRNA from 1 species
GACGAACGCUGGCGGCGUGCUUAACACAUGCAAGUCGAACGGAAAGGCCCUGCUUUUGUGGGGUGCUCGAGUGGCGAACGGGUGAGUAACACGUGAGUAACCUGCCCUUGACUUUGGGAUAACUUCAGGAAACUGGGGCUAAUACCGGAUAGGAGCUCCUGCUGCAUGGUGGGGGUUGGAAAGUUUCGGCGGUUGGGGAUGGACUCGCGGCUUAUCAGCUUGUUGGUGGGGUAGUGGCUUACCAAGGCUUUGACGGGUAGCCGGCCUGAGAGGGUGACCGGCCACAUUGGGACUGAGAUACGGCCCAGACUCCUACGGGAGGCAGCAGUGGGGAAUAUUGCACGAUGGGCGGAAGCCUGAUGCAGCAACGCCGCGUGCGGGAUGACGGCCUUCGGGUUGUAAACCGCUUUCGCCUGUGACGAAGCGUGAGUGACGGUAAUGGGUAAAGAAGCACCGGCUAACUACGUGCCAGCAGCCGCGGUGAUACGUAGGGUGCGAGCGUUGUCCGGAUUUAUUGGGCGUAAAGGGCUCGUAGGUGGUUGAUCGCGUCGGAAGUGUAAUCUUGGGGCUUAACCCUGAGCGUGCUUUCGAUACGGGUUGACUUGAGGAAGGUAGGGGAGAAUGGAAUUCCUGGUGGAGCGGUGGAAUGCGCAGAUAUCAGGAGGAACACCAGUGGCGAAGGCGGUUCUCUGGGCCUUUCCUGACGCUGAGGAGCGAAAGCGUGGGGAGCGAACAGGCUUAGAUACCCUGGUAGUCCACGCUGUAAACGGUGGGUACUAGGUGUGGGGUCCAUUCCACGGGUUCCGUGCCGUAGCUAACGCUUUAAGUACCCCGCCUGGGGAGUACGGCCGCAAGGCUAAAACUCAAAGGAAUUGACGGGGCCCCGCACAAGCGGCGGAGCAUGCGGAUUAAUUCGAUGCAACGCGUAGAACCUUACCUGGGUUUGACAUGGAUCGGGAGUGCUCAGAGAUGGGUGUGCCUCUUUUGGGGUCGGUUCACAGGUGGUGCAUGGCUGUCGUCAGCUCGUGUCGUGAGAUGUUGGGUUAAGUCCCGCAACGAGCGCAACCCUUGUUCACUGUUGCCAGCACGUUAUGGUGGGGACUCAGUGGAGACCGCCGGGGUCAACUCGGAGGAAGGUGGGGAUGACGUCAAGUCAUCAUGCCCCUUAUGUCCAGGGCUUCACGCAUGCUACAAUGGCUGGUACAGAGAGAGGCGAGCCUGUGAGGGUGAGCGAAUCUCGGAAAGCCGGUCUCAGUUCGGAUUGGGGUCUGCAACUCGACCUCAUGAAGUCGGAGUCGCUAGUAAUCGCAGAUCAGCAACGCUGCGGUGAAUACGUUCCCGGGGCU